rnacentral:rRNA from 1 species
UUUAAUUCAUACAUCUUAUUUAAUUUCUGUUGUUAAUUUAUUUAUUUUUAUUUGAUGUUAAGAUCAGGGGGGAUUAGCUCCUUGUUUUACCUUUAUAAUUGUUUGAUUAAUUUAGUUUUGUGGAUUUUAUGGUGAUUUUCUAUUUGAUUAUGUUAAAAUUUUAUUUGUUGUUUUUUGGAUUUUUUGUGGUUUAAGUUAUUUAUUGAAAUGUUUUCUUUACUUUUGGUUUGUAUAGUAAUUAUUGUGUAAUUAGUAAAUUUUAUUGUUUGUUUUGUGGGAGUAGGUGUUAAUUGCUUUUGAGGAAUUCGGCAAAAGUUAUGUCCGCCUGUUUAACAAAAACAUCUCUUCUUGUUAGUUUUUGAAGUAUGGUCUGCCCACUGACGUGUGUAAGUUGAAGGGCCGCGGUAUUUUGACCGUGCAAAGGUAGCAUAAUCAUUAGUUCUUUAAUUGUGAUCUGGUAUGAAUGGCUUGACGAGACAUGAGCUGUCUUAGGAGUAUUGGUUUAUUGAAUUUGGGGUUUGAGUUAAAAUUCUUAAAUGCUUUUAUGGGACGAGAAGACCCUAUAGAGUUUGACAAAUUUCCUAUUUAUUCGUUGUUUGUUAUGUUUUACAUUGAGUGGGAAUAGUUUGUUUUGUUGGGGUGAUGGGAGGAAUAGUGUUUAACUCCUCUUUGUUUUUGUAUAUUUAU